rnacentral:tRNA from 1 species
GCGGGUGUCGUCUAAUGGUAAGACAGCAGCUUCCCAAGCUGCUGACGUGGGUUCGAUUCCCAUCACCCGCUCCA